rnacentral:rRNA from 1 species
AUUGAACGCUGGCGGCAUGCCUUACACAUGCAAGUCGAACGGCAGCGCGGGGCAACCUGGCGGCGAGUGGCGAACGGGUGAGUAAAAUAUCGGAACAUACCCUAGAGUGGGGGAUAACGUAGCGAAAGUUACGCUAAUACCGCAUACGCACUAAGGUGGAAAGUGGGGGAGUCUUCGGACCUCAUGCUCAUGGAGUGGCCGAUAUCUGAUUAGCUAGUUGGUGAGGUAAAGGCUCACCAAGGCGACGAUCAGUAGCUGGUUUGAGAGAACGACCAGCCACACUGGAACUGAGACACGGUCCAGACUCCUACGGGAGGCAGCAGUGGGGAAUUUUGGACAAUGGGGGCAACCCUGAUCCAGCAAUGCCGCGUGAGUGAAGAAGGCC